CAGCAGCCGCGGGAAUACAGAGGGUGCGAGCGUUAAUCGGAUUUACUGGGCGUAAAGCGUGCGUAGGCGGCUUUUUAAGUCGGAUGUGAAAUCCCUGAGCUUAACUUAGGAAUUGCAUUCUAUACUGGGAAGCUAGAGUAUGGGAGAGGAUGGUAGAAUUCCAGGUGUAGCGGUGAAAUGCGUAGAGAUCUGGAGGAAUACCGAUGGCGAAGGCAGCCAUCUGGCCUAAUACUGACGCUGAGGUACGAAAGCAUGGGGAGCAAACAGGAUUAGAUACCCGCGUAGUCCCUGUCUCUUAUAA
rnacentral:rRNA from 1 species